rnacentral:rRNA from 1 species
CCCUUAGAUGUUCUGGGCCGCACGCGCGCUACACUGAUGCAAUCAACGAGUUUAUAACCUGCGCCGAGAGGCUUGGGUAAUCUGUUGAAAUUGCAUCGUGAUGGGGAUAGAUGAUUGCAAUUAUUCAUCUUCAACGAGGAAUGCCUUGUAAGCGCGAAUCAUCAGUUCGUGCUGAAUACGUCCCUGCCCUUUGUACACACCGCCCGUCGCUCCUACCGAUCGAGUGAUCCGGUGAGCUAUUCGGACCGCGAACGUUUGGGUUUCCCUGCGUUUGUGGGAAGUUUCGCAAACCUUAUCACUUAGAGGAAGGAGAAGUCGUAACA